CAAUAGCGUAUAUUAAAGUUGUUGCGGUUAAAAGCUCGUAGUUGGAUUUCUGUUAGGGACGACCGGUCCGCACUAUGUGCGUGUAUCUGGCUCGGCCUUGGCAUCCUCCUGGGGAACGGUGCUGCGCUUGAUUGCGUGGUCCGGUAUUCAGGACUUUUACUUUGAGGAAAUUAGAGUGUUCAAAGCAGGCCUAUGCUCUGAAUAGGUUAGCAUGGAAUAAUAGAAUAGGACUUUGGUUCUAUUUUGUUGGUUUCUAGGACCGAAGUAAUGAUUAAUAGGGACAGUUGGGGGCAUUCAUAUUCCAUUGUCAGAGGUGAAAUUCUUGGAUUAACGGAAGAUGAACUUCUGCGAAAGCAUCUGCCAAGGAUGUUUUCAUUGAUCAAGAACGAAAGUUAGGGGAUCGAAGACGAUCAGAUACCAU
rnacentral:rRNA from 1 species